GUGCCAGCCGCCGCGGUAAUACCGGCAGUCCAAGUGAUGGCCGAUAUUAUUGGGCCUAAAGCGUCCGUAGCCUGCUGUGUAAGUCCGUCGGGAAAUCCACUCGCCCAACGAGUGGGCGUCCGACGGAAACUGCACAGCUUGGGACCGGAAGGCUCGAAGGGUACGUUCGGGGUAGGAGUGAAAUCCCAUAAUCCCGCACGGACCACCGAUGGCGAAAGCACUUCGGGAAAACGGAUCCGACAGUGAGGGACGAAAGCCAGGGUCUCCAACCGGAUUAGAUACCCGUGUAGUCC
rnacentral:rRNA from 1 species